rnacentral:rRNA from 1 species
GACGAACGCUGGCGGCGUGCUUAACACAUGCAAGUCGAACGGAAAGGCCCUGCUUUUGUGGGGUGCUCGAGUGGCGAACGGGUGAGUAACACGUGAGUAACCUGCCCUUGACUUUGGGAUAACUUCAGGAAACUGGGGCUAAUACCGGAUAGGAGCUCCUGCUGCAUGGUGGGGGUUGGAAAGUUUCGGCGGUUGGGGAUGGACUCGCGGCUUAUCAGCUUGUUGGUGGGGUAGUGGCUUACCAAGGCUUUGACGGGUAGCCGGCCUGAGAGGGUGACCGGCCACAUUGGGACUGAGAUACGGCCCAGACUCCUACGGGAGGCAGCAGUGGGGAAUAUUGCACAAUGGGCGGAAGCCUGAUGCAGCAACGCCGCGUGCGGGAUGACGGCCUUCGGGUUGUAAACCGCUUUCGCAUGUGACGAAGCGUGAGUGACGGGAAUGGGUAAAGAAGCACCGGCUAACUGCGG